CACAUAACCUCUUGUAAUUAUAUUAGAGGCACAUCCUGCCCAGUGACACACGUGUUAAACGGCCGCGGUAAUCUGACCGUGCUAAGGUAGCAUAAUCAUUUGCCUCCUGAUUAGUGGCUUGUAUGAACGGACACAUGCGAAUCAAGCUGUCUCUUACUCACAAAUAUAAAUUAACCUUUAGGCGAAAAGGCCUAAAUAUUCUUAUAGGACAAGAAGACCCUGUCAAGCUUUACUAGAAAUUCUUAUUAUCAAAUAUUUAAAUAAAAUUCAUAACACCCCCUAGUUUAGUUGGGGCGACUGGGGACCAAUUAUAACGUCCCCCAUUCAAUAAGGGUAAUAACCCAUUUAAACUGACCCCUUACAGGACCAAGAGAUAAGCUACUGCAGGGAUAACAGACUAAUUUUUCCAAAGAGCCCAAAUCGAAGGAAAAGUUUGGCACCUCGAUGUUGGCUUAAGACAUCCUUUAAGUGCAGCAGCUUUAUAAGGUAGGUUAUGUUCAACCGUAUUAAAGUCUUACGUGAUCUGAGUA
rnacentral:rRNA from 1 species